AGAGUUUGAUCAUGGCUCAGAUUGAACGCUGGCGGCAUGCCUUACACAUGCAAGUCGAACGGCAGCACGGGGGCAACCCUGGUGGCGAGUGGCGAACGGGUGAGUAAUACAUCGGAACGUGCCCAGUAGUGGGGGAUAGCUCGGCGAAAGCCGGAUUAAUACCGCAUACGACCUAUGGGUGAAAGCGGGGGACCGCAAGGCCUCGCGCUAUUGGAGCGGCCGAUGUCAGAUUAGGUUGUUGGUGGGGUAAAAGCCUACCAAGCCGACGAUCUGUAGCUGGUCUGAGAGGACGACCAGCCACACUGGGACUGAGACACGGCCCAGACUCCUACGGGAGGCAGCAGUGGGGAAUUUUGGACAAUGGGCGCAAGCCUGAUCCAGCCAUGCCGCGUGCGGGAAGAAGGCCUUCGGGUUGUAAACCGCUUUUGUCAGGGAAGAAAUCUUCCGAGCCAAUACCUCGGGAGGAUGACGGUACCUGAAGAAUAAGCACCGGCUAACUACGUGCCAGCAGCCGCGGUAAUACGUAGGGUGCAAGCGUUAAUCGGAAUUACUGGGCGUAAAGCGUGCGCAGGCGGUUGUGCAAGACAGGUGUGAAAUCCCCGGGCUUAACCUGGGAACUGCACUUGUGACUGCACGGCUGGAGUACGGUAGAGGGGGAUGGAAUUCCGCGUGUAGCAAUGAAAUGCGUAGAUAUGCGGAGGAACACCGAUGGCGAAGGCAGUCCCCUGGACCUGUACUGACGCUCAUGCACGAAAGCGUGGGGGAGCAAACAGGAUUAGAUACCCUGGUAGUCCACGCCCUAUACGAUGUCAACUGGUUGUUGGGAAGGUUUCUUCUCAGGAACGUAACUAACGCGUGAAGUUGACCGCCUUGGGGGAGGACGGCCGCCAGGCUGAAACUCAAAUGAAUUGACGG
rnacentral:rRNA from 1 species